GAUGAACGCCGGCGGCGUGCCUAAUACAUGCAAGUCGAGCGAAUGGAUUAAGAGCUUGCUCUUAUGAAGUUAGCGGCGGACGGGUGAGUAACACGUGGGUAACCUGCCCAUAAGACGGGGAUAACUCCGGGAAACCGGGGCUAAUACCGGAUAACAUUUUGAACUGCAUGGUUCGAAAUUGAAAGGCGGCUUCGGCUGUUACUUAUGGAUGGACCCGCGUCGCAUUAGCUAGUUGGUGAGGUAACGGCUCACCAAGGCAACGAUGCGUAGCCGACCUGAGAGGGUGAUCGGCCACACUGGGACUGAGACACGGCCCAGACUCCUACGGGAGGCAGCAGUAGGGAAUCUUCCGCAAUGGACGAAAGUCUGACGGAGCAACGCCGCGUGAGUGAUGAAGGCUUUCGGGUCGUAAAACUCUGUUGUUAGGGAAGAACAAGUGCUAGUUGAAUAAGCUGGCACCUUGACGGUACCUAACCAGAAAGCCACGGCUAACUACGUGCCAGCCGCCGCUGUAAGAC
rnacentral:rRNA from 1 species